UACGAAGGGGGCUAGCGUUGUUCGGAUUUACUGGGCGUAAAGCGCACGUAGGCGGAUCGUUAAGUCGGGGGUGAAAUCCUGGAGCUCAACUCCAGAAUGCCUUCGAUACUGGCGAUCUUGAGUCCGGAAGAGGUGAGUGGAACUCCUAGUGUAGAGGUGGAAUUCGUAGAUAUUAGGAAGAACACCAGUGGCGAAGGCGGCUCACUGGUCCGGUACUGACGCUGAGGUGCGAAAGCGUGGGGAGCAAACAGG
rnacentral:rRNA from 1 species